GACGUUCAACCUCAAAAGAAGCAGAGGGGGCUUAGUGGUGGGGUGACUGCGUACCUUUUGUAUAAUGGGUCAGCGACUUAUAUUCUGUAGCAAGGUUAACCGAAUAGGGGAGCCGGAGGGAAACCGAGUCUUAAUUGGGCGUUAAGUUGCAGGGUAUAGACCCGAAACCCGGUGAUCUAGCCAUGGGCAGGUUGAAGGUUGGGUAACACUAACUGGAGGACCGAACCGACUAAUGUUGAAAAAUUAGCGGAUGACCUGUGGCUGGGGGUGAAAGGCCAAUCAAACCGGGAGAUAGCUGGUUCUCCCCGAAAGCUAUUUAGGUAGCGCCUCGUGAAUUCAUCUCCGGGGGUAGAGCACUGUUUCGGCUAGGGGGCCAUCCCGGCUUACCAACCCGAUGCAAACUGCGAAUACCGGAGAAUGUUAUCACGGGAGACACACGGCGGGUGCUAACGUCCGUCGUGAAGAGGGAAACAACCCAGACCGCCAGCUAAGGUCCCAAAGUCAUGGUUAAGUGGGAAACGAUGUGGGAAGGCCCAGACAGCCAGGAUGUUGGCUUAGAAGCAGCCAUCAUUUAAAGAAAGCGUAAUAGCUCACUGGUCGAGUCGGCCUGCGCGGAAGAUGUAACGGGGCUAAACCAUGCACCGAAGCUGCGGCAGCGACACUGUGUGUUGUUGGGUAGGGGAGCGUUCUGUAAGCCUGUGAAGGUGUGUCGUGAGGCAUGCUGGAGGUAUCAGAAGUGCGAAUGCUGACAUAAGUAACGAUAAAGCGGGUGAAAAGCCCGCUCGCCGGAAGACCAAGGGUUCCUGUCCAACGUUAAUCGGGGCAGGGUGAGUCGACCCCUAAGGCGAGGCCGAAAGGCGUAGUCGAUGGGAAACGGGUUAAUAUUCCCGUACUUGGUGUUACUGCGAAGGGGGGACGGAGAAGGCUAUGUUGGCCGGGCGACGGUU
rnacentral:rRNA from 1 species